rnacentral:lncRNA from 1 species
AGGAGCCGCUUCUGUGCCAUCUCACAGAAAACCCUGGGAAACCAAUCAUCAAAAAACCUCUCUGUCUGCAUCCAAGUGAACCCUACCAAUGGCUGUCUGUGGUUUCUUAGGGAUGAAAGCGAUGACUGUGUGUACAGACGCCCUCCUGGGAAUUUCCCAGGAGAAUUGUUUUUUUGUUUUUUUUUUGUUUUGUUUUUUUUUUUUUUGGUUUUUCUAGACAGGGUUUCUCUGUGUAGCCCUGGCUGUCCUGGAACUCACUUUGUAGACCAGGCUGACCUCGAACUCAGAAAUCUGCCUGCCUCUGCCUUCCAAGUGCUGGGAUUAAAGGCAUGUGCCACCAUGCCCGAUGAGAAUUGCAUUUUAAAGAAGCAGCACGAUGGGGUUUGUCUUAGUCAGAGUUUCUAUUCUGCACAAAUAUCAUGACCAAGAAGCAGUUGGGGAGGAAAGGGUUUAUUCAGCUUAUACUUCCAUACUGCUGUUCAUCACCAAAGGAAGUCAGGACUGGAACUCAAGCAGGUCAGAAAGCAGGAGCUGAUGCAGAGGCCAUGGAGGGAUGUUCUUCACUGGCUUGCUUCCCCUGGCUUGCUCAGCCUGCUCUCUUAUAGAACCAAGACUACCAGCCCAGAGAUGGUCCCACCCACAAGGGGCCUUUCCCCCUUGAUCACUAAUUGAGAAAAUGCCUUACAGUUGGAUCUCAUGGAGGCAUUUCCUCAACUGAAGCUCCUUUCUCUGUGAUAACCGCAGCCUGUGUCAAGUUGACACACAAAACUAGCCAGUACAGGGUUGUACUUCAGACGAUCCUUCUGUGGUGACCUGGGGACAUUAGAAUCAUGUGCGAAUGGCUUUUGAGUCAGUCCCCUGCUCUGCCCUGGGCUCUUGGCUGGGCUUCCUGUUGUCUUCUCUCCUAUGGCCAAAGCAUCUCUGGCCCAGCUCCUCCCUUCUCUACAAAUGGAAACUCCUUCAUGUUUUCCUAGUUCUAAAUGAUUCAUUCUCUCAGAGCACUGAGCUAACUGCCCCUGUCUUUUCACUACUUAACUUGGACUUUCCCAUGAAAAAAAAUUUUAUACAUGUACAUAUAUAUAUGUAUGUAUGUAUGUAUGUAUGUAUGUAUGUAUAUAUACACACACACACAUAUAUACACCAUAUAUGUCAUAUAUAUGUAUAUAUGUCAUUGCUAAGUCUUGUCAGUUCCAUUCCCAUCUCCCACCUCUUUGUUCUCUAUAUGGCCUCUGUUCUGUGUAGCUGCCUCUUUCUGUGAAGUCACUGGUCCACUGCCACCAGAUCCAGCUUUAUGAAGCAGGAGUUGGAUCAAACCAUCUUGUCCAAUUCGGUUGUGCCUGGGGCAUCUCUGCCUGCCACAGCCCACUUCACUGAUCCCAGCACCUGCUGUUUUCCUGUCUCCGCCAGCCUUGCUGGCUGUAGCUCAGAUGGACCCCUCCCUCCUUCCUCCUCAUGUCUCCCCACCUGUAUUUGAUCUGUCGUUCACAGGGCCCAUUGUGGAAGCAUCACCUCUAAUCUCAUUCUCGGCCAGAGCUGAUCUCCUCUUCGGGGUUCUCACUGACACCCAUCUCCUAGCAUUAAUCGCUUCUGCCUCGUGAGAUGAUUAUUUUCUCUGUUAUCGUGAUGUCAAUGGCAAGAAUUACAUAUUCUGUAUUUUUUGUGGUACCAAAUGCACUGCCUUGUACUUAGCAAGUGCUAAAUAAACAUUUAUUAAAGC